rnacentral:rRNA from 1 species
AUUCCAGCUCCAAUAGCGUAUAUUAAAGUUGUUGCAGUUAAAACGCUCGUAGUCGGAUUUCGGGGCGGGCCGACCGGUCUGCCGAUGGGUAUGCACUGGCCGGCGCGUCUACUCUUAACUGAGCGGGCGCGGGAGACGGGUCUUUUACUUUGAAAAAAUCAGAGUGUUUCAAGCAGGCAGUCGCUCUUGCAUGGAUUAGCAUGGGAUAAUGAAAUAGGACUCUGGUGCUAUUUUGUUGGUUUCGAACACCGGAGUAAUGAUUAACAGGGACAGUCAGGGGCACUCGUAUUCCGCCGAGAGAGGUGAAAUUCUCAGACCAGCGGAAGACGAACCACUGCGAAAGCAUUUGCCAGGGAUGUUUUCAUUA